rnacentral:rRNA from 1 species
UUAGGCAUGCAAGUCGUACGCAUAGCUUCGGCUAUGAGUGGCGCAAGGGUGAGUAAUGCGAAGGUAACCAACCCUGGUGUUGGGCAUAGCCGCGGGAAACUGGCGGGUAAUUCCCAGCGACGUCACGAGAUGGGCAUCAUCUUGUGACCAAAGGUGUGAUUCCGCUCUAGGACGGGCCUUCGUGGUAUUAGGUAGUUGGUGAGGUAACGGCUCACCAAGCCGACGAUGCCUACCGGGUGUGAGAGCAUGACCCGGCACACUGGAACUGAGACACUGUCCAGACACCUACGGGUGGCUGCAGUCGAGAAUCUUCGGCAAUGGGCGAAAGCCUGACCGAGCGACGCCGCGUGAGGGAUUGAAGGCCUUCGGGUUGUAAACCUCUUUCGUAGAGGAGGAAGGGGCCGUGAAGAACGGUCUUUGACCUAUUCUAGGAAGAAGCUUGGGCUAAGUUCGUG